rnacentral:rRNA from 1 species
UACGGGGGGGGCAAGCGUUGUUCGGAAUUACUGGGCGUAAAGGGCUCGUAGGUGGCCAACUAAGUCAGACGUGAAAUCCCUCGGCUUAACCGGGGAACUGCGUCUGAUACUGGAUGGCUUGAGAUUGGGAGAGGGAUGCGGAAUUCCAGGUGUAGCGGUGAAAUGCGUAGAUAUCUGGAGGAACACCGGUGGCGAAGGCGGCAUUCUGGACCAAUAUUGACGCUGAGGAGCGAAAGCCAGGGGAGCAAACGGG